rnacentral:tRNA from 1 species
GAGAUAUUAGUAAAAAUUAUUACAAAGCCUUGUCAAGACUUAAUUAUAAGUGAGAACCUUGUAUAUCUUA